GGCUGUGUCCCCUUCGUCUAGUGGCCUAGGACACCGCCCUUUCACGGCGGUAACAGGGGUUCGAGUCCCCNCGCCGCUC
rnacentral:tRNA from 1 species